rnacentral:rRNA from 1 species
UGCAAACGUUGCUCGGAAUUACUGGGCGUAAAGCGCGUGUAGGUGGAUUGGUGUGUCAGAUGUGAAAGCCCUGGGCUCAACCCAGGAACUGCACCUGAAACUACCAGUCUUGAGUGGUGGAGAGGGAAGUGGAAUUCCUGGUGUAGAGGUGAAAUUCGUAGAUAUCAGGAGGAACACCAGUGGCGAAGGCGGCUUCCUGGACACCAACUGACGCUGAGACGCGAAAGCGUGGGGAGCAAACAGG